rnacentral:misc_RNA from 1 species
GGCGAAGAGAAGGUGACAACAAUGAAGGUAUUUCGGCGGUCGGUAGCCGGACGGUGAGAGAGCCGAGAGUCGUCGUCCAAACCACCAGCGACAUCGACAUUCUCGACGAUGGUUACCGGUGGAGGAAGUAUGGUCAGAAAGUUGUAAAGGGAAACCCAAAUCCAAGGAGUUACUACAAAUGUACAAAUCCAGGAUGUCCAGUAAGAAAGCAUGUGGAGAGAGCUUCACAUGAUCUAAG